ensembl:rRNA 5S_rRNA 5S ribosomal RNA
AUUCACAGCCAGAUCCCCCUGCUGCCCAAGAGCGGCCACUCACUGAAGCUGAGCAGGGCUGAGCCGGGUCAGUGUCUGGAUGGGAGACCACAUGGGAACACUCGGCUGCUGUUAGCA